GACGAACGCUGGCGGCGUGCCUAAUACAUGCAAGUUGAGCGCUGAAGGUUGGUACUUGUACCAACUGGAUGAGCAGCGAACGGGGGAGUAACGCGUGGGGAAUCUGCCUUUGAGCGGGGGACAACAUUUGGAAACGAAUGCUAAUACCGCAUAAAAACUUUAAACACUAGUUUUAGGUUUGAAAGAUGCAAUUGCAUCACUCAAAGAUGAUCCCGCGUGGUAUUAGCUAGUUGGUGAGGUAAAGGCUCACCAAGGCGAUGAUACAUAGCCGACCUGAGAGGGUGAUCGGCCACAUUGGGACUGAGACACGGCCCAAACUCCUACGGGAGGCAGCAGUAGGGAAUCUUCGUCAAUGGACGAAAGUCUGACCGAGCAACGCCGCGUGAGUGAAGAAGGUUUUCGGAUCGUAAAACUCUGUUGGUAGAGAAGAACGUUGGUGAGAGUGGAAAGCUCAUCAAGUGACGGUAACUACACAGAAAGGGACGGCUAACUACGUG
rnacentral:rRNA from 1 species